AUCUCGGUAUCAUCUGCAGAAUAUGGUACUAAUGCAAAGGAGUCUGUAACAGACUAUACUACACCCUCUUCUUCUCUGCCUAACACUGUGGCUACUAAUAACACAAAGAUGGAGGAUACUUUGGUUAAUAAUGUGCCCCUGCCUAACACCCUUCCCUUCCCUAAGAGAGAGACUAUACAACAGAGCUCCAGCCUAACUUCAGGUCCUCCCACUACUUUCAGCCUCACCUUCAAGAUGGAGUCUGCACGCAAGGAUAGGGAGAAUUCUCCAAAUGUAAGGGAAAAGGGGUCUCCAGUAACUUCCACAGCACCUCCAAUUGCAACUGGAGUCAGCAGUAGUGCCAGUGCACCAAGCACUGCUAAUUAUAAUUCGUUCUCAAGUGCAUCGAUGCCCCAGAUUCCUGUUGCUUCAGUCACUCCUACAACAUCACUAUCAGGAGCUGGUACGUACACUACCUCUUCUUUGAGCACAAAAUCUACAACCACAUCGGACCCUCCAAAUAUUUGUAAAGUGAAACCUCAGCAGUUGCAGACAAGCAGCCUGCCUUCUGCAAGUCAUUUUUCACAGUUAAGCUGUAUGCCUUCCCUUAUUGCCCAGCAACAACAGAGUCUGCAAGUUUAUGUGUCUCAGUCUGCAGCAGCUCAAAUCCCAGCCUUCUAUAUGGACACAAGUCAUUUAUUUAAUACCCAGCAUGCACGAUUGGCUCCACCAUCCUUGGCUCAACAACAGGGUUUCCAACCAGGUCUCUCUCAGCCAACUUCAGUUCAGCAGAUUCCAAUCCCUAUUUAUGCACCACUGCAAGGGCAGCAUCAAGCCCAACUGAGUUUGGGGGCUGGACCUGCUGUUUCCCAGGCUCAGGAAUUGUUCAGCUCUUCACUUCAACCAUAUAGAUCUCAGCCAGCUUUUAUGCAAAGCAGUUUAUCCCAGCCAUCUGUGGUCCUUUCUGGGACUGCUAUUCACAACUUUCCAACUGUCCAACACCAAGAACUUGCCAAGGCACAAUCUGGUCUUGCCUUUCAGCAAACAUCAAAUACCCAGCCUAUUCCCAUAUUGUAUGAACAUCAACUGGGGCAGGCAUCAGGACUAGGAGGUUCCCAGCUGAUUGACACACAUCUUCUCCAGGCUAGAGCAAAUCUUACCCAGGCUUCAAAUCUUUAUUCUGGACAAGUACAACAGCCUGGUCAGACAAAUUUUUAUAACACUGCCCAGUCACCAAGUGCUCUCCAGCAGGUUACAGUACCUUUACCAGGAUCCCAGCUUUCCUUGCCUAAUUUUGGAUCUACAGGGCAACCUCUAAUUGCUUUGCCUCAGACUCUUCAGUCCCCGUUACAGCAUACCACUCCCCAAGCACAGGCUCAGAGUCUGAGUCGUCCUGCACAAGUAAGCCAGCCUUUCAGAGGAUUAAUUCCUGCUGGAACACAGCAUAGCAUGAUUGCAACCACAGGAAAAAUGUCUGAAAUGGAACUAAAAGCCUUGGAAGUGGCAUUGAUAUAAAACCAGGCACACCUCCAAUCGCUGGUAGAAGCACCACACCAACAUCUAGUCCCUUCCGGGCUACUUCUACAAGUCCGAACAGCCAGUCCAGCAAAAUGAACAGUAUUGUCUACCAGAAGCAGUUCCAGUCAGCCCCUGCCACUGUGAGAAUGACACAACCGUUUCCUACACAGUUUGCACCCCAGAAGAGAGCUGUGGGAAGAGGACGUCAGCCACAAGACAUUUGGUCCUAGGUGUUGGCAAAGCAGAGAGCAGAGGUUCUUCAGUCCACGCAACGGUUCUUCUCUGAACAGCAUCAGAGCAAACAGAUAGGAGGCAAAGCCCAGAAAGUGGACAGUGAUUCAAGUAAACCUCCUGAAACACUGACCGACCCUCCUGGUGUCUGUCAGGAAAAAGUAGAAGAAAAGCCACCCCCUGCACCCUCCAUAGCCACCAAACCUGUUAGAAACUGGACCAAUCAAACCUCAGGCAAUCAAAACCGAAGAAACAAAAUCUUAAAGGCUAUGGUUUAUUGCAGGGGAUUGGGGGUGGGGGGAGGAAAACAUGGAGAAAUUAAGUCAGAUAAUGCCAGCAGCCCAAAGGGGCAAAAUGGUCCGUGGACAUUAUCCUGUUCAGAGCUUGGAGAUAUACAAGGGACAUAG